rnacentral:lncRNA from 1 species
GCUUUUCAUGUUGAAAAAUGCCUAAAAGAAGCUUAGAAUUGAAAUCAGAAGGAAAAAGAACCAAGAAAACAAAUUCUGGAAAAAUCUGGAAAUUAAUGGUUAAGUAAUUCUUGUUUUCCAGAUUUGGCUCGCCGGAGAAGAUGAAGGUGUGGCGGCGGCUGCGGCAGAGUUCCUCGUCGGAGAUGAACAGAUCACGAAGGCUGAUGCGUAUUUCUUCCAUGGAAACAACGGUGGUGGAAUUAUCGCAAUCGGAGGUCAGACGAUGGAGAAAAACACGUUUUAAGGUCGUGAUUCUCGUCAGAAAACUAAUGCUCGUGGUGGCUCUCAUGAACACGAUGAAAAGGUUGAAGAUUGAGCCCAGAAACCGUCCAAACGACAAAAAAUACUGAAAUCUGUUGCUAUCACACCCAUGUUGAGACAAAGUAGAAGAAAAAGCAAGCCUUUGUCAAGAAGUUCCAAUUACCAGCGUUUCAAGGAAUUACUGGAAGACAUGGUUGAACAAACUAUAAGAAGUAAUAUUCAACGUUUAUUUUGUACGAUAUCAAUUUUCGGUGUUUAUAAUUAAACUUCUCUUUCUGUUGAUGGUUCGAAACCCAUAUUUUUUAUCUCCAUAAAAAUCCUUUUUUUUUUCUCUUUCUCAAAUCAGGUUAAUGAAUUUGGAUUUUUUGGAAGAUAAAUCUCAGAUCUGGUUCAACUUUGGUUCAAUAAACCUCAGAUCCAGUUAAUGAAAAGCUUAGAGGUUGAGAUUCUAGAUUGAGGAAUGUGAAUUAUGAACUGUGAUUGUGAAAUUAGUUUAAAUUCUGGAAUUUUUUUGAUGAAGAUUGGGGAG